UACAGAGGUGCCGAGCGUUAGGCGGAAUCACUGGGCUUAAAGCGUGUGUAGGCGGACUUCUAAGUACCUUGUGAAAUCCCACGGCUCAACCGUGGAACUGCUUGGUAUACUGGUCGUCUUGAGCCACCUAGGGGCAACCGGAACAAACGGUGGAGCGGUGAAAUGCGUAGAUGUCGUUUGGAACGCCAAUGGUGAAAACAGGUUGCUGGGGGUGUGCUGACGCUGAGACACGAAAGCCAGGGGAGCAAACGGG
rnacentral:rRNA from 1 species